rnacentral:rRNA from 1 species
UACGUGGGGUGCAAGCGUUAUCCGGAUUUAUUGGGCGUAAAGAGUUCGUAGGCUUUUUGCCAAGUUUCGUUUGAAAGCCCGAGGCUCAACCUCGGACCCGGACGAAAAACUGGCAGAAUCGAGUCAUCUAGGGGACACUGGAACUCAUAGUGUAGCAGUGAAAUGCGUUGAUAUUAUGAGGAACACCAAGGGCGAAGGCAGGUGUCUGGGGGUUGACUGACGCUGAGGAACGAAAGCUAGGGGAGCGAAAGGG